GAAAAUUGUCCGUUGUGAUAUUUUUGGUUAUUGAAUGAGAGAGAUAGGGAUAGCAGGGGAAGUAGAGAGGAAAGAAAGAAAGAAAGAAGCUAAGGAGAGAGAGAGAGAGAGAUGGGUUGGCUAUUGUGAUUGCGAAGCAGGGGAUCUGAUCUUUCCUUUUCGCGUUGAAUUCUCUUCUAGCUUUCAGCUUGUUGUGUGAAUCACACAACACAUAUACAUACACAUACUACUUGUGAGAGAGAUGUAAAAGAAAGAAAGAUAAAAGAUUGAAUGGAUGGAUCCUAUAAUGGGAGAACAAGGA
rnacentral:misc_RNA from 1 species